GUCUACACUCAUACUACCCUGAACACACCUGAUCUUGUCUGAUCUUAGAAGCUAAGUGGUGUCAGGCCUGGUUAGUAUUUACA
rnacentral:rRNA from 1 species